CCAACCCCCCGUGGUCUCCUUCUCCUCCUCCUGCUGUAGCAGGAUUGGUCAGUGUGACCAAUAGAAUGAGGCAGAAGUCAUGAUAUAUAACUUCUGAGGUUAGGUUAUAAAAGACAUUGGGGCCUCAGUCUUGGUUUUUUUCUCUCUUUCUGCCUGGUCACUCGCUCUGGAGGAAACUAGAUACCAUGCUGUGGGCAGCCCUGUGGACGAGAGGCCUACACGAUGGGAUACUGAAGGCUCCUGCAAAGAGCCAUGGGAGUGAGCUUAGAAGUAGACCCUUAGCCGCAGUCAAGCCAUCAGAUAACUGCCGCACUGCAUGACCCCUUGACCACAACCUAAUGAGAGAUCCUAAUCCAGAGCCAUCCAGGAGUAAAGAAAGAAUACUCUGAUCUACCCUCCCACAGCUCCCAUUCAUUGAGGAUGAAGCCAUGGAGACAGGAUCUCCCUAUGUUGCCCAGGCUGGUCUCGAGCUCCUGGGCUCAAACGAUUAUCCCACUUUGGCCUCCAAAAGUGCUGAGAUUACAGACAUGGAUCACUGUGCUGGGCGUCUUCUUGGCCUCUCCAUGCAACAUUCCUUCCUCCAGAAUAUGGGGCAGAAGCCCUUCUGAAAUGGGGGUCUUAUGACCUACAAUCACGCAAGAUCUGUGUUCUUAACUACAGUGUUCUUAACUACUGUAUAGAGAUGACCUCCAGAGAAGAUGAGAAGACAGAGGCACAGAAUGGAUUAGAUUAAAACAACUAGAAGGUAUGAGUGCCAGGAUUCAAGUCCAGGCAGUCUGCCCCAGAAUUCCCCUCCAUAACCACUAUACCUCCCACAUCGUGAAGAUGGGAGGAAGCAGUGGGAACUUGAAAAAUGGAUUUAUUGCAGGGUGUGCUGCAGUAUGUAUAUCAUGUGAGGCCAUUUCUAUUUCUCUUCCUUUGCCUUCCCAGUUGUUUUUCCCCUGUAUGCCACAGUAAACUAGCCACUGUUUUAGCAGCUCUCUUGUUGAUUUUUAAAAUACCUAUUCACUAAAUCUUUAAAGGAAACAUUUAGCUACUGCAAUGGGUGUACAUAAGUUGGUUGUGUAAUAGGAAGGAAACAAGCCAGGACUGGAGACUUCAUUUCUAAAGAAGGAUUUU